GGUUGGCUCAGUUGGUAGAGCAUGGUGUUUGCAACGCCAGGGUUGUGGGUUCGAUUCCCACGGGGGACCA
rnacentral:tRNA from 1 species